UCCAACGUUAAUCGGGGCAGGGUGAGUCGACCCCUAAGGCGAGGCCGAAAGGCGUAGUCGAUGGGAAACAGGUUAAUAUUCCUGUACUUGGUGUUACUGGCGAAGGGGGGACGGAGAAGGCUAUGUUAGCCGGGCGACGGUUGUCCCGGUUUAAGCAUGUAGGCUGGUUAUCCAGGCAAAUCCGGAUAAUCAAGGCUGAGGUGUGAUGACGAGGCACUACGGUGCUGAAGUAACAAAUGCCCUGCUUCCAGGAAAAGCCUCUAAGCAUCAGGUAACAUCAAAUCGUACCCCAAACCGACACAGGUGGUCAGGUAGAGAAUACCAAGCGCUUGAGAGAACUCGGGUGAAGGAACUAGGCAAAAUGGUGCCGUAACUUCGGGAGAAGGCACGCUGGUGUGUAGGUGAAG
rnacentral:rRNA from 1 species